CGGCGAGUGAAGCGGCAAAAGCUCAAAUUUGAAAUCUGGCCCUUUCAGGGUCUGAGUUGUAAUUUGUAGAAGAUGUUUCGGGUGUGGCCCCGGUCUAAGUUCCUUGGAACAGGUCGUCAUAGAGGGUGAGAACCCCGUAUGUGACUGGGUGCCUACGCUCAUGUGAAACUCUUUCAACGAGUCGAGUUGUUUGGGAAUGCAGCUCAAAAUGGGUGGUAUAUUUCAUCUAAAGCUAAAUAUGGGCCAGAGACCGAUAGCGCACAAGUAGAGUGAUCGAAAGAUGAAAAGCACUUUGGAAAGAGAGUUAAACAGUACGUGAAAUUGUUGAAAGGGAAGCGCUUGCAAUCAGACUUGCGCCUGGGCGAUCAUCCGGGGUUCUCCCCGGUGCACUCGUUCAGGCUCAGGCCAGCAUCGGUUUCCGUGGUUGGAUAAAGGCCUUGGGAAUGUGGCCCCUCUCGGGGGGUGUUAUAGCCCUCGGUGCAAUGCAGCCUACGGGGACCGAGGACCGCGCUUCGGCUAGGAUGCUGGCGUAAUGGUUGUAAGCGACCCGUCUUGAAACACGGACCAAGGAGUCUAACAUCUAUGCGAGUGUUUGGGUGUCAAACCCAUACGCGUAAUGAAAGUGAACGUAGGUGAGAACCCUUCAGGGUGCAUCAUCGACCGAUCCUGAUGUCUUCGGAUGGAUUUGAGUAAGAGCAUAGCUGGUGGGGACCCGAAAGAUGGUGAACUAUGCGUGAAUAGGGUGAAGCCAGAGGAAACUCUGGUGGAGGCUCGCAGCGGUUCUGACGUGCAAAUCGAUCGUCAAAUUUGGGUAUAG
rnacentral:rRNA from 1 species